rnacentral:rRNA from 1 species
CAGCCGCCGCGGUAAUACGUAGGGGGCGAGCUUUGUCCUGAAUUACUGGGCGUAAAGGGCGUGUAGGCGGCCUGUUAAGUCAGGGGUGAAAGACCGGGGCUCAACCCCGGGGGUGCCUCUGAAACUGGCGGGCUUGAGUGCUCUAGAGGGCAGUGGAAUUCCCGGUGUAGCAGUGAAAUGCGUAGAGAUCGGGAGGAACACCAGUGGCGAAGGCGGCUGCCUGGGGAGUCACUGACGCUGAGGCGCGAAAGCUAGGGGAGCAAACAGGAUUAGAUACCCUGGUAGUCAUAGCCGUAAACGAUGAGCGCUAUGUGUGAGGGGUAUCGACCCCCCUCGUGCAGGAGCUAACGCAUUAAGCGCUCCGCCUGGGGAGUACGGCCGCAAGGUUGAAACUUAAAGGAAUUGGCGGG